rnacentral:rRNA from 1 species
UACAGAGGGUGCAAGCGUUGUCCGGAUUUAUUGGGUGUAAAGGGUGCGUAGGCGGGACGAUAAGUCCGAGGUGAAAGCCCGCAGCUUAACUGCGGAACUGCCUUGGAUACUGUCGACCUUGAGUCCCGGAGGGGUGGCUGGAAUUCCUGGUGUAGCGGUGAAAUGCGUAGAUAUCGUAAGGAAGACCAGUGGCGAAGGCGGGUCUCUGGACAGUUCCUGACGCUGAGGCACGAAGGCCAGGGGAGCAAACGGG